UCGACCUCGGAUCAGGUAGGAAUACCCGCUGAACUUAAGCAUAUCAAUAAGCGGAGGAAAAGAAACCAACAGGGAUUGCCUCAGUAACGGCGAGUGAAGCGGCAACAGCCCAGAUUUGAAAUCCGGUUCUUUCAGUAAGAAUCUGAGUUGUAAUCUGUAGAGGAUGUCGCUGGCUACUAGUAUCUCCGAAGUCCCCCUGGAACGGGGCGCCGCAGAGGGUGAGAGUCCCGUGCGGGGAUAGCUAGAUAGUCAAUGUGCGACUCCUUCGGCGAGUCGAGUAGUUUGGGAAUGCUGCUCUAAAUGGGAGGUAAAUUCCUUCUAAGGCUAAAUAUCGGCCGGAGACCGAUAGCGCACAAGUAGAGUGAUCGAAAGAUGAAAAGCACUUUGAAAAGAGGGUUAAACAGUACGUGAAAUUGUUGAAAGGGAAGCGCCCGCGACCAGACUUGUCUGCAGUCAAUCGCCCCACGCUUGUCGUGGGGUCUCUUGGCUGCGGUUUACAGGCCAGCAUCGAUUCUCGCUAGGGGAGAAGCGCAGUGGGAAUGUAGCUCCUUUCGGGGAGUGUUAUAGCCCGCUGCUUGACACCCUGGCUGGGGAUCGAGGCCCGCGUUCCGACAAGGAUGCUGGCGUAAUGGUCGCUGGCGACCCGUCUUGAAACACGGACCAAGGAGUCGAGGUUUUCCGCGAGUGUGUGGGUGAUAAACUCGCGCGCGGAAUGAAAGUGAACGUAGGUGAGAGUCUUCUCAGGGAGAUGCAUCACCGACCGAUCCCAAUGUUUUUACGGAGGGUAUCGAGUAUGAGCGGGGAGCCUCGGACCCGAAAGAUGACGAACUAUGCCUGCAUAGAAUGAAGCCAGAGGAAACUCUGGUGGAGGUUCGCAGCGGUUCUGACGUGCAAAUCGAUCGUCAAAUGUGGGCAUGGGGGCGAAAGACUAAUCG
rnacentral:rRNA from 1 species